rnacentral:rRNA from 1 species
AGUGGAUGGGGAGCAACCUAGUUGUGCGUGUGUAAAGGUAGUGCCAAGAAAAGCGGUGAUCAUGAUGAAAAUCAAUUCCCGGUACCCGAAACCGACACAGGUGGGCAAGUAGAGAAUACUAAGGGGCGCGAGGUAACUCUCUCCAAGGAACUCGGCAAAAUGACCCCGUAACUUAGGGAGAAGGGGUGCCACCGAGAGGUGGUCGCAGUGAAGAGGCCCAGGCGACUGUUUAGCAAAACAUAGGUCUCUGCAAACUCGAAAGAGGAGGUAUAGGGGCUGACGCCUGCCCAGUGCCGGAAGGUUAAAGAAGUUGGUCAGUCUUAGGAUAAAGCUAGCGACUGAAGUCCCGGUGAACGGCGGCCGUAACUAUAACGGCCCUAAGGUAGCGAAAUUCCUUGUCGGGUAAGUUCCGACCCGCACGAAAGGCGUAACGAUCUGGGCGCUGUCUCGGAGAGAGGCUCGGCGAAAUAGGAUUGUCUGUGAAGAUACGGACUACCUGCAUUUGGACAGAAAGACCCUAUGAAGCUUUACUAUAGCUUGGAAUUGUGUUCGGGCUUCCUGUGCGCAGGAUAGGUGGGAGGCGAAGAAGGUAUUCUUGUGGGGAUACUGGAGCCAACGGUGAGAUACCACUCUCAGGAGGCUAGAAUUCUAACUUAAUUAAGGACAGUUUCAGGUGGGUAGUUUGACUGGGGCGGUCGCCUCCAAAAAGGUAACGGAGGCGUACAAAGGUUCCCUCAGACUGGUUGGAAAUCAGUCGCAGAGUGCAAAGGCAGAAGGGAGCUUGACUGCGAGAAGUACAGUUCGAGCAGGGUGGAAACACGGUCUUAGUGAUCCGACGGUGCUGUGUGGAAGGGCCGUCGCUCAACGGAUAAAAGUUACUCUAAGGAUAACAGGCUGAUCUCCCCCAAGAGUUCACAUCGACGGGGAGGUUUGGCACCUCGAUGUCGGCUCAUCGCAACCUGGGGCGGAAGUACGUCCCAAGGGUUGGGCUGUUCGCCCAUUAAAGCGGUACGUGAGCUGGGUUCAGAACGUCGUGAGACAGUUCGGUCCAUAUCCGAUGUAGGCGUGAGAAUAUUGAGAGGAGCCUUCCUUAGUACGAGAGGACCGGGAAGGACGCACCGCUGGUGAACCUGUUAUGAUGCCAAUUGUAAACGCAGGGUAGCCAAGUGCGGAGAGGAUAACCGCUGAAAGCAUCUAAGUGGGAAGCCCACCUCAAGAUGAGUAUUCUGGUGUAAGGUCACGGGAAGACGACCCGUAAAUAGGCACGAGGUGGAAGUGCAGAGAUGUAUGAAGCC